rnacentral:rRNA from 1 species
CCUACGGGAGGCAGCAGUAGGGAAUCUUCCACAAUGGUCGAAAGCCUGAUGGAGCAACGCCGCGUGGGUGAAGAAGGUCUUCGGAUCGUAAAACCCUGUUGUUAGAGAAGAAAGUGCGUGAGAGUAACUGUUCACGUUUCGACGGUAUCUAACCAGAAAGCCACGGCUAACUACGUGCCAGCAGCCGCGGUAAUACGUAGGUGGCAAGCGUUAUCCGGAUUUAUUGGGCGUAAAGGGAACGCAGGCGGUCUUUUAAGUCUGAUGUGAAAGCCUUCGGCUUAACCGGAGUAGUGCAUUGGAAACUGGGAGACGUGAGUGCAGAAGAGGAGAGUGGAACUCGAUGUGUAGCGGUGAAAUGCGUAGAUAUAUGGAAGAACACCAGUGGCGAAAGCGGCUCUCUGGUCUGUAACUGACGCUGAGGUUCGAAAGCGUGGGUAGCAAACAGGAUUAGAUACCCUGGUAGUC